rnacentral:rRNA from 1 species
UACGGAGGGUGCAAGCGUUAUCCGGAUUCACUGGGUUUAAAGAGUGCGUAGGUGGGCAGGUAAGUCAGUGGUGAAAUCUCCGGGCUUAACCCGGAAACUGCCAUUGAUACUAUCUGUCUUGAAUACCGUGGAGGUGAGCGGAAUAUGUCAUGUAGCGGUGAAAUGCUUAGAUAUGACAUAGAACACCAAUUGCGAAGGCAGCUCACUACACGAAUAUUGACACUGAGGCACGAAAGCGUGGGGAUCAAACAGG